rfam:Struthio camelus australis contig54194, whole genome shotgun sequence.
UAUGAAUCUAGUGGAAUCAUUUCCGCACAGACUUGACUACUGAAAUCAGUGUGCGGAAAUGCUUCUGCUACAUUUUUA